rnacentral:rRNA from 1 species
GCAUUCACUUUAAAUAGGGCUCCGUCAAAAUCCGUUGAGACGACACCGUAUGAAUUAUGGUUUGGAAAGAAACCUAAGAUGUCGUUUCUUAAAGUUUGGGGAUGCGAUGCUUAUGUCAAGAAACUUCAACCUGAAAAGCUCGAACCCAAGUCGGAAAAAUGCGUCUUCAUAGGAUACCCUAAGGAAACCAUUGGGUAUACCUUCUACCUCAGAUCCGAAGGCAAGAUCUUCGUUGCUAAGAAUGGGUCCUUUCUGGAGAAAGAGUUUCUCUCGAAAGAAGUAAGUGGGAGGAAAGUGGAACUUGAUGAGAUGACCCCUCUCGAACCAGAAAGUAGCGCAGCACAAGAAAAUGUUUCUGUGGUGCCUGCACCGACUAGAGAGGAAGUUAAU